UGAUGGAGAGGAAGAAGCAGAAGCAGUAUGUGAAGAAGAGAACAACUGGAGAUCAACAUAUUUUACAGGAGAUCUACAUAUUUUAAGAUUUGUCCUCUGGAUCCAGCUCUGAAUCUUCUGAUGAAGU